rnacentral:rRNA from 1 species
GAAAUGACUGCUAAUACCGCAUAAGCGCACAGGGCCGCAUGGUCUGGUGUGAAAAACUCCGGUGGUGUAAGAUGGACCCGCGUCUGAUUAGGUAGUUGGUGGGGUAACGGCCCACCAAGCCGACGAUCAGUAGCCGACCUGAGAGGGUGACCGGCCACAUUGGGACUGAGACACGGCCCAAACUCCUACGGGAGGCAGCAGUGGGGAAUAUUGGACAAUGGGCGAAAGCCUGAUCCAGCGACGCCGCGUGAGUGAAGAAGUAUUUCGGUAUGUAAAGCUCUAUCAGCAGGGAAGAAAAUGACGGUACCUGACUAAGAAGCCCCGGCUAACUACGUGCCAGCAGCCGCGGUAAUACGUAGGGGGCAAGCGUUAUCCGGAUUUACUGGGUGUAAAGGGAGCGUAGACGGUUAAGCAAGUCUGAAGUGAAAGCCCGGGGCUCAACCCCGGUACUGCUUUGGAAACUGUUUGACAUGAGUGCAGGAGAGGUAAGUGGAAUUCCUAGUGUAGCGGUGAAAUGCGUAGAUAUUAGGAGGAACACCAGUGGCGAAGGCGGCUUACUGGACUGUAACUGACGUUGAGGCUCGAAAGCGUGGGGAGCAAACAGGAUUAGAUACCCUGGUAGUCCACGCCGUAAACGAAGAAUACUAGGUGUCGGGGGACAAAGUCCUUCGGUGCC